UACGUAGGGGGCUAGCGUUGUCCGGAAUCAUUGGGCGUAAAGAGCGUGUAGGCGGUCCGGUAAGUCCGCUGUGAAAGUCGGGGGCUCAACCCUCGAAUGCCGGUGGAUACUGUCGGGCUAGAGUGCGGAAGAGGCGAGUGGAAUUCCUGGUGUAGCGGUGAAAUGCGCAGAUAUCGUGAGGAAGACCAGUGGCGAAGGCGAAUCUCUGGACAGUUCCUGACGCUCAUGCACGAAGGCCAGGGGAGCAAACGGG
rnacentral:rRNA from 1 species